rnacentral:piRNA from 1 species
UGUUGCCAUUCCUUGCCGUGAUGUACGUC